GUCGAGCGGACAGAUGGGAGCUUGCUCCCUGAUGUCAGCGGCGGACGGGUGAGUAACACGUGGGUAACCUGCCUGUAAGACUGGGAUAACUCCGGGAAACCGGGGCUAAUACCGGAUGCUUGUUUGAACCGCAUGGUUCAAACAUAAAAGGUGGCUUCGGCUACCACUUACAGAUGGACCCGCGGCGCAUUAGCUAGUUGGUGAGGUAACGGCUCACCAAGGCAACGAUGCGUAGCCGACCUGAGAGGGUGAUCGGCCACACUGGGACUGAGACACGGCCCAGACUCCUACGGGAGGCAGCAGUAGGGAAUCUUCCGCAAUGGACGAAAGUCUGACGGAGCAACGCCGCGUGAGUGAUGAAGGUUUUCGGAUCGUAAAGCUCUGUUGUUAGGGAAGAACAAGUGCCGUUCGAAUAGGGCGGCACCUUGACGGUACCUAACCAGAAAGCCACGGCUAACUACGUGCCAGCAGCCGCGGUAAUACGUAGGUGGCAAGCGUUGUCCGGAAUUAUUGGGCGUAAAGGGCUCGCAGGCGGUUUCUUAAGUCUGAUGUGAAAGCCCCCGGCUCAACCGGGGAGGGUCAUUGGAAACUGGGGAACUUGAGUGCAGAAGAGGAGAGUGGAAUUCCACGUGUAGCGGUGAAAUGCGUAGAGAUGUGGAGGAACACCAGUGGCGAAAGGCGACUCUCUGGUCUGUAACUGACGCUGAGGAGCGAAAGCGUGGGGAGCGAACAGGAUUAGAUACCCUGGUAGUCCACGCCGUAAACGAUGA
rnacentral:rRNA from 1 species